rnacentral:SRP_RNA from 1 species
UUCACCCCCCGCGACGAUAAGCCGUGAACCUGGUCAGGCCCGGAAGGGAGCAGCCACAGCGGUGGAUUCGGGUGCCGGGGUGUAGCAGG